rnacentral:rRNA from 1 species
ACCGGUUUAAACUCAGAUCAUGUAAAAUUUUAAAGGUCGAACAGACCUAAUAUAUCAGCUCCUACACCAACAAUUCAUUUUAAUCCAACAUCGAGGUCGCAAUCUUUUCUUUCGAUAAGAACUCUAAAAAAAAUUACGCUGUUAUCCCUAAGGUAAUUUAAUCUUAUAAUCUAAAUUAUAGGAUCAUAUACUUAACCAUCAAUAUAACAAUAAAGAAAAGUUUAAUUAAUUUUCCCAUCACCCCAACAAAAUAAACAAACACAUAAUUAAAAUAAUUAAACCUUUUUCUCAAUUAUAUAUUUGUCUAUAAAACUCUAUAGGGUCUUCUCGUCUUCUAUACAAAUUUAAGCUUUUUCACUUAAAAAUAAAAUUCUAAUUAAUUUUUCUAGAGACAGCUAUUUUUUCAUCAAACCUUUCAUACAAGCUUCCAAUUAAAAAACUAGUGACUAUGCUACCUUUGCACGGUCAAAAUACCGCGGCCAUUUAAAAACUCAGCGGGCAGGCCAGACCUGAAAUCAUACUCAACAGGACAUGUUUUU